AGUCGCGAACGGGUGAGUAACGCGUAGGUAACCUACCUUAUAGCGGGGGAUAACUAUUGGAAACGAUAGCUAAUACCGCAUAAGAGUUGACAACACAUGUUGUUAAUUUAAAAGGAGCAAUUGCUUCACUAUGAGAUGGACCUGCGUUGUAUUAGCUAGUUGGUAAGGUAACGGCUUACCAAGGCAUCGAUACAUAGCCGACCUGAGAGGGUGAUCGGCCACACUGGGACUGAGACACGGCCCAGACUCCUACGGGAGGCAGCAGUAGGGAAUCUUCGGCAAUGGGGGGAACCCUGACCGAGCAACGCCGCGUGAGUGAAGAAGGUUUUCGGAUCGUAAAGCUCUGUUAUAAGCGAAGAACGGGAGUAAGAGUGGAAAGUUUACUCUGUGACGGUAGCUUAUCAGAAAGGGACGGCUAACUACGUGCCAGCAGCCGCGGUAAUACGUAGGUCCCGAGCGUUGUCCGGAUUUAUUGGGCGUAAAGCGAGCGCAGGUGGUUUAAUAAGUCUGAAGUUAAAGGCAUUGGCUCAACCAAUGUACGCUUUGGAAACUGUUAAACUUGAGUGCAGAAAGGGAGAGUGGAAUUCCAUGUGUAGCGGUGAAAUGCGUAGAUAUAUGGAGGAACACCGGUGGCGAAAGCG
rnacentral:rRNA from 1 species